rnacentral:rRNA from 1 species
CUCGGCGGGAACAGACGGCCCCGUAACACGGGCCGCCCCCGCCAGAGGACCCCCUAACUCUGUUUCUAUAAUGUUUCUUCUGAGUAAACAAGCAAAUAAAUUAAAACUUUCAACAACGGAUCUCUUGGCUCUGGCAUCGAUGAAGAACGCAGCGAAAUGCGAUAAGUAAUGUGAAUUGCAGAAUUCAGUGAAUCAUCGAAUCUUUGAACGCACAUUGCGCCCGCCAGUAUUCUGGCGGGCAUGCCUGUUCGAGCGUCAUUACAACCCUCAGGCCCCCGGGCCUGGCGUUGGGGAUCGGCGGAAGCCCCCUGCGGGCACAACGCCGUCCCCCAAAUACAGUGGCGGUCCCGCCGCAGCU